rnacentral:hammerhead_ribozyme from 1 species
AUCCGGAUGACAAGUUCCAAAUAGGGCGAAAUGCGCAUUCUGGAU